AGCGAACGCUGGCGGCAGGCUUAACACAUGCAAGUCGAACGGUCCUUCGGGACAGUGGCGGACGGGUGAGUAACACGUGGGAACGUGCCCUUAGCUUCGGAACAACCCAGGGAAACUUGGGCUAAUACCGGAUGUGCCCUUCGGGGGAAAGAUUUAUCGGCUUUGGAGCGGCCCGCGUCUGAUUAGCUAGUUGGUGGGGUAAUGGCCUACCAAGGCGACGAUCAGUAGCUGGUCUGAGAGGAUGACCAGCCACACUGGGACUGAGACACGGCCCAGACUCCUACGGGAGGCAGCAGUGGGGAAUCUUGCGCAAUGGGCGAAAGCCUGACGCAGCCAUGCCGCGUGGAUGAUGAAGGUCUUAGGAUUGUAAAAUCCUUUCAGCGGGGACGAUAAUGACGGUACCCGCAGAAGAAGCCCCGGCUAACUUCGUGCCAGCCGCCGCCGUAA
rnacentral:rRNA from 1 species